rnacentral:rRNA from 1 species
AUUGAACGCUGGCGGCAGGCCUUACACAUGCAAGUCGAGCGGUAACAGGGGAAGCUUGCUUCUCGCUGACGAGCGGCGGACGGGUGAGUAAUGUAUGGGGAUCUGCCCGAUAGAGGGGGAUAACUACUGGAAACGGUAGCUAAUACCGCAUAAUCUCUUAGGAGCAAAGCAGGGGAACUUCGGUCCUUGCGCUAUCGGAUGAACCCAUAUGGGAUUAGCUAGUAGGUGAGGUAAUGGCUCACCUAGGCGACGAUCCCUAGCUGGUCUGAGAGGAUGAUCAGCCACACUGGGACUGAGACACGGCCCAGACUCCUACGGGAGGCAGCAGUGGGGAAUAUUGCACAAUGGGCGCAAGCCUGAUGCAGCCAUGCCGCGUGUAUGAAGAAGGCCCUAGGGUUGUAAAGUACUUUCAGCGGGGAGGAAGGCGUUGAGGUUAAUAACCUCAGCGAUUGACGUUACCCGCAGAAGAAGCACCGGCUAACUCCGUGCCAGCAGCCGCCGUAA